GGUUCAAGUCCCUCUAUCCCCAAAAAGCCCAUUCAACUCCUUAACUCUUU
rnacentral:tRNA from 4 species